rnacentral:rRNA from 1 species
GACGAACGCUGGCGGCGUGCUUAACACAUGCAAGUCGAACGGAAAGGCCCUGCUUUUGUGGGGUGCUCGAGUGGCGAACGGGUGAGUAACACGUGAGUAACCUGCCCAUGACUUUGGGAUAACUUCAGGAAACUGGGGCUAAUACCGGAUAGGAGCUCCUGCUGCAUGGGGGGGGUUGGAAAGUUUCGGAGGUUGGGGCUGGACUCUCGGCUUAUCAGCUUGUUGGUGGGGUAGUGGCUUACCAAGGCUUUGGCGGGUAGCCGGCCUGAGAGGGUGACCGGCCACAUUGGGACUGAGAUACGGCCCAGACUCCUACGGGAGGCAGCAGUGGGGAAUAUUGCACAAUGGGCGGAAGCCUGAUGCAGCAACGCCGCGUGCGGGAUGACGGCCUUCGGGUUGUAAACCGCUUUCGCCUGUGACGAAGCGUGAGUGACGGUAAUGGGUAAAGAAGCACCGGCUAACUACGUG